rnacentral:rRNA from 1 species
CUGCGGAGGAUCAUUAUUGAACAGCAAUGGGUGGCAAAGACUGUUGCUGGCUUGAAUGAGCAUGUGCACGUCAUUUGCUGCUUAUUUCAUUCAUUUUUCCUCCUGUGAACCUUUUGUAGACACUUGGGAAUGAGAAGUUGGUUGUAAUGAUUGACCUCUUGAUAUUGAUCUGGGUGUCUAUGCCAUUUUUAUAAAGACAUGGUUGCAUGUGUAUAGAAUGAGAUUGUAUGGUUUUUUUAAUAAAGCCUUUAAAUGAUAAUACAACUUUCAACAACGGAUCUCUUGGCUCUCGCAUCGAUGAAGAACGCAGCA